UACGUAGGGUGCGAGCGUUAAUCGGAAUUACUGGGCGUAAAGCGUGCGCAGGCGGUUCGUUGUGUCCGAUGUGAAAGCCCCGAGCUCAACUUGGGAACUGCAUUGGAAACUGGCGGGCUGGAGUGUGGCAGAGGGGGGUGGAAUUCCACGUGUAGCAGUGAAAUGCGCAGAUAUCAGGAGGAACACCGAUGGCGAAGGCAGGUCUCUGGGCCACUACUGACGCUGAGAAGCGAAAGCAUGGGGAGCGAACAGG
rnacentral:rRNA from 1 species